UGGCGCACGGGUGAGUAACACGUGGGUAAUCUACCUCUUAGUGGGGGAUAUCUCUGGGAAACUAGAGUUAAUACCGCAUAAGUUCGAGAGAAGAAAGCAGCAAUGCGCUAAGAGAGGAGCCCGCGGCCGAUUAGCUAGUUGGUAAGGUAAAGGCUUACCAAGGCUGAGAUCGGUAGCCGGCCUGAGAGGGCACACGGCCACACUGGCACUGAAACACGGGCCAG
rnacentral:rRNA from 1 species